AUUUGGCCACUGGAAGCCUGUCACUAUGUCACUCGAGAGCCACACUCGGCUUUGGAGAAGUUACCCUGAGAAGGGAGGGAAAUCAUUUCCCAGACUGUGCCCUACCCUAAAAGAUGAAGAGGAGGCCGUGUGCAGGCAGCCUAUGCAAUACAAUAGAACUGCUGACAUCAGCUAGAAGGAUUGGCAGAAGCAGCCCAUAGGGACCAGCAUUCCAUCGCUGUUCCUGGAGGACACGCAGAUAGCAGACACUUGGAAUGAAGUUUAUUACAGUUUUGCAGACAUUUUAAUUUUUUUUAAUCAAAAAUUACACAGACUUCUCUCAGCAAAAAUAACGGUCUAAUCCGAAUGGAAAUCUGAUAGUUUGUGAAUGUGAUGGAGUGUUUAAAAUCUCUGCCAUCCUCUGUUCCUAAACAAGGCAUCCGUGUUGACAACUCAUGAUUUUACUGAGAGUAUCAUGAUUGUUGGUGUUUUUGUUAAACCUGGAGUCAUGUGAUUCUGUGAGAAUCUCGGCUUUCACUUUAAAUAAAGGAGUAGUAAACAACUA